rnacentral:rRNA from 1 species
GACGAACGCUGGCGGCGUGCUUAACACAUGCAAGUCGAACGCUGAUGGCCCAGCUUGCUGGGUUGGAUGAGUGGCGAACGGGUGAGCAACACGUGAGUAACCUGCCCUCUUCUUUGGGAUAACGGUCGGAAACGGCUGCUAAUACCGGGUAUUCACUGUCCUUCGCAUGGGGGGUGGUGGAAAGGUUUUUUUCUGGUGGGGGAUGGGCUCGCGGCCCAUCAGCUUGUUGGUGGGGUGAUGGCUUACCAAGGCUUUGACGGGUAACCGGCCUGAGAGGGUGACCGGUCACAUUGGGACUGAGAUACGGCCCAGACUCCUACGGGAGGCAGCAGUGGGGAAUAUUGCACAAUGGGCGAAAGCCUGAUGCAGCGACGCCGCGUGAGGGAUGGAGGCCUUCGGGUUGUAAACCUCUUUCGCUCAUGGUCAAGCCGCAACAGUGGUUGUGGUGAGGGUAGUGGGUAAAGAAGCACCGGCUAACUACGUGCCAGCAGCCGCGGUAAUACGUAGGGUGCGAGCGUUGUCCGGAAUUAUUGGGCGUAAAGGGCUUGUAGGCGGUUUGUCGCGUCUGCCGUGAAAUCCUCUGGCUUAACUGGGGGCGUGCGGUGGGUACGGGCAGGCUUGAGUGCGGUAGGGGAGACUGGAACUCCUGGUGUAGCGGUGGAAUGCGCAGAUAUCAGGAAGAACACCGGUGGCGAAGGCGGGUCUCUGGGCCGUUACUGACGCUGAGGAGCGAAAGCGUGGGGAGCGAACAGG